ACCCGCUGAACUUAAGCAUAUCAAUAAGCGGAGGAAAAGAAACCAACAGGGAUUGCCCUAGUAACGGCGAGUGAAGCGGCAUCAGCUCAAAUUUGAAAUCUGGCUCUUUCAGGGUCCGAGUUGUAAUUUGCAGAGGGCGCUUUGGCGUUGGCAGCGGUCCAAGUUCCUUGGAACAGGACGUCACAGAGGGUGAGAAUCCCGUACGUGGUCGCUGGCCUUCGCCGUGUAAAGCCCCUUCGACGAGUCGAGUUGUUUGGGAAUGCAGCUCUAAAUGGGAGGUAAAUUUCUUCUAAAGCUAAAUACUGGCCAGAGACCGAUAGCGCACAAGUAGAGUGAUCGAAAGAUGAAAAGCACUUUGGAAAGAGAGUCAAAUAGCACGUGAAAUUGUUGAAAGGGAAGCGCUUGCAGCCAGACUUGCCUGUAGUUGCUCAUCCGGGCUUUUGCCCGGUGCACUCUUCUGCGGGCAGGCCAGCAUCAGUCUGGGCGGUUGGAUAAAGGCCUCUGUCAUGUACCUUCUCUCGGGAAGGCCUUAUAGGGGAGGCGUAAUGCAACCAGCCUGGACUGAGGUCCGCGCAUCUGCUAGGAUGCUGGCGUAAUGGCUGUAAGCGGCCCGUCUUGAAACACGGACCAAGGAGUCUAACAUCUAUGCGAGUGUUUGGGUGUCAAGCCCGAGCGCGUAAUGAAAGUGAACGGAGGUGGGAUCCCUUAAGGGUGCACCAUCGACCGAUCCUGAUGUCUUCGGAUGGAUUUGAGUAAGAGCAUGGCUGUUGGGACCCGAAAGAUGGUGAACUAUGCUUGAAUAGGGUGAAGCCAGAGGAAACUCUGGUGGAGGCUCGCAGCGGUUCUGACGUGCAAAUCGAUCGUCAAA
rnacentral:rRNA from 1 species